rnacentral:rRNA from 1 species
ACAUGCAGUCGAACGAGCUUCCGUUGAAUGACGUGCUUGCACUGAUUUCAACAAUGAAGCGAGUGGCGAACUGGUGAGUAACACGUGGGGAAUCUGCCCAGAAGCAGGGGAUAACACUUGGAAACAGGUGCUAAUACCGUAUAACAACAAAAUCCGCAUGGAUUUUGUUUGAAAGGUGGCUUCGGCUAUCACUUCUGGAUGAUCCCGCGGCGUAUUAGUUAGUUGGUGAGGUAAAGGCCCACCAAGACGAUGAUACGUAGCCGACCUGAGAGGGUAAUCGGCCACAUUGGGACUGAGACACGGCCCAAACUCCUACGGGAGGCAGCAGUAGGGAAUCUUCCACAAUGGACGAAAGUCUGAUGGAGCAAUGCCGCGUGAGUGAAGAAGGGUUUCGGCUCGUAAAACUCUGUUGUUAAAGAAGAACACCUUUGAGAGUAACUGUUCAAGGGUUGACGGUAUUUAACCAGAAAGCCACGGCUAACUACGUGCCAGCAGCCGCGGUAAUACGUAGGUGGCAAGCGUUGUCCGGAUUUAUUGGGCGUAAAGCGAGCGCAGGCGGUUUUUUAAGUCUGAUGUGAAAGCCUUCGGCUUAACCGGAGAAGUGCAUCGGAAACUGGGAGACUUGAGUGCAGAAGAGGACAGUGGAACUCCAUGUGUAGCGGUGGAAUGCGUAGAUAUAUGGAAAGAACACCAGUGGCGAAGGCGGCUGUCUAGUCUGUAACUGACGCUGAGGCUCGAAAGCAUGGGUAGCGAACAGGAUUAGAUACCCUGGUAGUCCAUGCCGUAAACGAUGAGUGCUAAGUGUUGGAGGGUUUCCGCCCUUCAGUGCUGCAGCUAACGCAUUAAGCACUCCGCCUGGG